CGUUUAAACAGCGGUUCCCAUAGGAUCCCCUAAGUUAAGCAACGCCGAACCUGUUCAGUACCUAGAUGGGUGAGCGUUUGGAAAUACCAAGUGUUGUAG